CUCCUCUUUGUCUUCUCUGACUCUUUUCUGUCCCCUGGCUUUUGUUGCUGACUCCAGUCUCCCACCUUUCAUCGUUGUUUCCUUCUUCUUUAACCCCCUCAUCCUGAUUCUCGUCCAACUCUUCUUUAUUUUUUUUUCUUUUCCAUUUUCUCCUUCCUCUUGGAACAGUAGUAGUGUGUAGUAUUAGUGUGCUGUCCAGGCAGGUUAGAGAGGGUAAUUUGAGCCUCUAAGGGCGCCGUGGGGCUUGGAUCUCGUUUUGGAAGGUGUGCUGACAGUCAGCAAUCCAGCACUGAUCACACCAAAGUCACAAAGCUCUGUAAGAUGUGUAACAUCCUCGAGGGGAGAGGGUAAGUGUAAAUGAGUAAAGGAGAAAGUGCAGAGAAAGAAAUGGUCGUAGUUUUAUCCACACAGACAGAGUCAACAGAGAUGUCACUGUGCACCCAGGGCCAUGUUAGCUUCGAAGCCCAAGUCCAUUUGCACCUGACAUGAGGGGGAAGCAACUUUUCUG